GCGGCAGGCCUAACACAUGCAAGUCGAACGGCAGCACAGAGAGCUUGCUCUCGGGUGGCGAGUGGCGGACGGGUGAGUAAUGUCUGGGAAACUGCCUGAUGGACGGGGGUAACUACUGGAAACGGUAGCUAAUACCGCAUAAUGUCGCAAGACCAAAGUGGGGGACCUUCGGGCCUCACACCAUCGGAUGUGCCCAGAUGGGAUUAGCUAGCAGGCAGGGUAAUGGCCUACCUGGGCGACGAUCCCUAGCUGGUCUGAGAGGAUGACCAGCCACACUGGAACUGAGACACGGUCCAGACUCCUACGGGAGGCAGCAGUGGGGAAUAUUGCACAAUGGGCGCAAGCCUGAUGCAGCCAUGCCGCGUGUAUGAAGAAGGCCUUCGGGUUGUAAAGUACUUUCAGCGAGGAGGAAGGCAUUGCGGUUAAUAACCGCAGUGAUUGACGUUACUCGCAGAAGAAGCACCGGCUAACUCCGUG
rnacentral:rRNA from 1 species